AUGAAAAAACAAUUACUGGCGAAGAUAGAUGAAAUAUAUGUCAAACAACAUCAACUGGUGUGCCUGCUAGAUGAAAAGGGGCAGCUAAACGAGUACCCUUACUUACAAGGAAACGUUCAAUUAUUGAUAUCCAUUAGUAAUGUCAGCAUGACAUGGACCGUCGCACGCACACUCUGGUUGGGGCUGGCCCUCGCCGCCGUGAUUCUCAGGGUCUUUGGGAGUUGGACUGGCUUCAUGUUCCUUCCGCUGCCACCAUCGCCAGUUCUUCCGCUUCUGUCUCCUCCGUUACUGGUUCCUUCCAGCAGUGGCAUCAUCGACUUGGUCAUCUGUGUGGUUCUCGGUUGUCUUCUUUAG
rnacentral:rRNA from 1 species